CUUCUCUUCUCUUCUCUUCUCUUCUCUUCUCUCCUCUCCUCUCCUCUCCUUUUCUCUACUCUUCUCUCCAGGUCUCAUCAAGAGCUCCAUGUUCAGAGCAGCGGUGUCCUCCACCAGUGCUGUUCUCACAUGGACGUCCCCGGGACCAGAGCACAGUGUGUGUGUGUGUGUGUCUGACAGGUGUUGGCCACCCUCUCAAACAGACUCACACACACACACACACACCUACCAGCUCCCAGGGCUAAACCCUGCGACUACUUACGCCCUCAUGGUGGAGCAGGAGACACUCAUGAGACACAGCAGGAUAACUCUUCUGCAGAAACUCCAGUUUCUCAUUGAGACAGCUCAGUGUCCAGUGGGCUGGCUGGCAGUGGGUUGGAGCUGUUUUCGAGUGUGGCAGAAGGUGUGUGUGUGGCCAGAGGCCCAGCAGGCAUGUGCUAGGGCAGCCUCAGGGGUCCAUCUAGCAGACCUUCACACAGAGGAGGAGUUAGAGGCAGUGUCCAGCUAUCUUCUGUCCCAUAGCCACCUGCUGCUGCUGUGGACGGGCCUCAAUGACCAACAGACAGAGGGUGUGCUUCAGUGGUCAGACGGCUCCCCUUAUAACCUGUCAGUUCCUGUGACAUCAGCUCUUUCAGCCAAUCAGACGGACUGUUUCGCACUGCAGAGGAAUGCUACUGGUCCAAGCUACUUCCUGACUGCUUUCUUCUGUGAUAUAGCCCUCCCAUACCUCUGUCAUGCUGAGUGUGAGUGUGAGUGUUUGUGUGUGUGUGUGUGUGUGU